GCGAGAAAGAGAGAGGGGGGGCAGAGACCACCCCUGUGCUGUACUCCUAUUCGCCGGAAAUCGUCUCCUCUCUUUUUCUCCGGCCGCGUCUGCAACUCCACCUCAAUGGCGACCCCCACCAACCCUCAUCUCGCGCCCCCGCCGCCGGAUCGGGAUCUCGCAAUAGUUCAAGCCAUUAAGGAUUUUUAUCGCAAUUCGGGGACAAUCGAAGAGAACAUUACAUUGCUAGGCUAUGAUGAGAAGCCUAUGGAUUUCGACAACAGUGAAAUGAAGUUCUUCAAGUGCUCGUACAAAGUUGGGCCCAUCAAAUUCAACAGGUUUAUCAAGAGGGGUGCUGCAAGUUCGAAGGAUUGGGCUUCAGACUACCAUUUUGUCAGAGCUUUGGCGCGUCCUGCUGCUAUCCAAGUUGAAAAUUACGUCAAUUCAGAGUGUGUGAUCAUCUCUGAAGUGGAUGGGUCCUUCAGCAAAUGGUUGAACAAGAGGGAACCCAUAGAACUGUUCGCUGAUGGCACCAUGCUGCCCAUCCUCAGAAAUAUGAUCAUCCAACUUGCAAGUCUGGUGGAAAGUAUCCUUGCUAAGCGCAAGUAUCCCCGAGGUACCGUUGCAAAGGAAGAAUUCUCAAUGAAAGAGCUCUACAUCAAGCUGCUUCCUGAUAAGACACCUAAGCUGCAGGUGUUGAUACUUAAGGUUGAAAACAGGAUUCCAGCUCAGGUGGUGAAGACUUGGACAACUGUAAGGAAGAUUGCUACAGAGUGCUUUGAACGCCAUAAUGUCGAUCCAAACCAGGGAAGUAGAGACUUCAUCUCUUGUAUUGGGAUUCUGACAAAAAAUGUCCAAGCUCUUUUGGAGGGCCACCCGGACCAGUGGGACAAUUCGAAGAAAGGUGGUUUCUCAUGGAAUCCUACACGUACUCCCAGCAAGUGUCUGGUAGGAUCAACAAGUCUGAAUUGAGGUGGCCUGUGGAAGAUGAUGGAAGAACUCUGUGGUUGCUGUCGCAGUUAAUUCUUCGGGGUCGAGAGAAGAAGGUGAUCUAUGACAAGGACUUUCCGAAUGACUAUGUGAAACUAUGCAGGCACAGCUACAAGCACUUCAAAAAAUUGCCAAACAAUAUUAAGCGUACCUGCAGGCUAGUCUUGGAGGGAGUACAGAUGGACUGAUACGUCAGAUUGAAGUUUGGUCGCCUCGUAUCUGGCACAUCUUAUAUGUGGCACUUCACAAGCCCGGAUCAGGAUAGGUUGACAUGUAUUUGUGCUUGUUCGGCUGUCCAAGUCCAUGUACUACUCUAGUGAGAUUUAGACGCUCUUAUAUUUCUUUCCAGAGGGAGUACUUCAAUGACAUGGCAUACAAGCGUUAAUUAAGCCUCAAGUAUGUAUAUUGUGCUGUAUUCAGAGGUGCAGCGUUGUGGAUACAAGGUUUAAAAAAACAGGGG